ACACAUGCAAGUCGAGGGGUAAGAGUUCGUUCGGAACUUGAGACCGGCGCACGGGUGCGUAACGCGUAUGCAAUCUACCUUAUACAGGGGAAUAGCCCAGAGAAAUUUGGAUUAAUGCCCCAUAGUAUUAUGAAACGGCAUCGUUUUGUGAUUAAAGUUCCAACGGUAUAAGAUGAGCAUGCGUCCCAUUAGUUAGUUGGUAAGGUAACGGCUUACCAAGACAAUGAUGGGUAGGGGUCCUGAGAGGGAGAUCCCCCACACUGGUACUGAGACACGGACCAGACUCCUACGGGAGGCAGCAGUGAGGAAUAUUGGUCAAUGGGCGCAAGCCUGAACCAGCCAUGCCGCGUGCAGGAAGAAGCAUCUAUGGUGUGUAAACUGCUUUUAUACAGGAAGAAACAACUCUACGUGUAGAGUCUUGACGGUACUGUAAGAAUAAGGACCGGCUAACUCCGUGCCAGCAGCCGCGGUAAUACGGAGGGUCCAAGCGUUAUCCGGAAUCAUUGGGUUUAAAGGGUCCGUAGGCGGUCUUAUAAGUCAGUGGUGAAAGCCCAUCGCUCAACGAUGGAACUGCCAUUGAUACUGUAAGACUUGAAUACUUGUGAAGUAACUAGAAUAUGUAGUGUAGCGGUGAAAUGCUUAGAUAUUACAUGGAAUACCAAUUGCGAAGGCAGGUUACUAACAAGUUAUUGACGCUGAUGGACGAAAGCGUGGGGAGCGAACAGGAUUAGAUACCCUGGUAGUCCACGCCGUA
rnacentral:rRNA from 1 species